AUUUAUUUGAAAUUAUAGUUUUUUUUAGGGUGAGAAAAUAAUCCUUUGAUAACUUGUCAUGAUAGAACUAAAACAACGUACACCUAAAAUUAAACACCACUCGUGUGAUAUUGUGUUUAUUAACCCUAAUAUAAUCAGAGCAAACGGGAAGCUCUAAAUAUUGGGAAAAUAUGGAUAAACUUAUCAAAUUACUACUUCAAAUUAUGAACUUUGACUGCUUUUGUUUUGGAACUUCAUCUGAAAAGAAGAAGAAGAAGAAGAUGUUUCCACAUCUUAAAGGGAAGUCAUAAAAGAAUAUAAUUGAAGAGAAUAGACUUGUGAAGCAGUUGAAGAAUAUAAUUGAAGAGAUGGUUGUGGAACAGUGAAAAAAUAUAUAUGAUGAGGCCAUGGAAAUCCACUUCCCAGUGGAAACAAUUGUGGAAAUCCUCAUCAGGUUACCUGUGCAGUCUCUUCCUCGAUUCAAAUGUGCUUCAAAAUCUUGGAAGACGUUGAUCUUGCGUCCAUACUUUAAGUCGAAGCAUUGCAAUAAUCAUGCAAAGAAUAAUAAGAAGCUUCUUAUUGCUCGAAUGAACCCUGAGGUUCGUACGAUAUCAUAUUAUCGUUCUUCUUUAUCUUCAUCAUCCUCGUCUCAACCACUACAAAAGCUUGUUUGCCCUUCAAAUCAUGAUCUGAGAAAUUACGCAAUAGCAUGUUGUUGCGAUGGCUUGUUUCUUCUUCGGUGUCGUGGUGAAUUUUUACUGUGGAACCCAUCCACAAAUUAAGCAGUACAACUUCCUAAUUAUGAAUUUCCAGACGCAACCAGUUUCGGGUUGGGAUAUGACUCGAUUAGCGAUGACUAUAAGAUUCUUGCGACUGAAAAUUGCAAUGGUGACAGGCGGCCCAAUAAAAUCCUGCGCUUCUUGGAGAGAAAUCGAUAACUAUCCUCCUGGCUUUCGCGAUACUACGUAUGGCGAUUUGGCAUUUCAUUGGAUCUGUAUGGAUGAUUUACUCAAGUCUUUUGUGAUUUCGUUUAAUAUAUCAAAUGAGGUGUACGGAGAGAUAUAUCAUUGCCUGAGGAAAUUUGCAUUAUUAUUUCGGUUGAUGGCUAUGUAGUACGUGGCAUUUCAGUAUUAGAAGGAAUGCUUUGUGCUUAUUGUACUUGCAGAGAGAUGGCGGUAGGCACUUUUAAAUUAUGGAUAAUGAAAAACUAUGGUGUCAAGGAAUCUUGGACUAAAUUAUUUACGAUACGAGAGGCCAAUUUGUUUUUAGUCAUACCGAAAUAUAUGUUUGCGGAUGGUGAUGUGCUACUCUACUACCAAGAGGCUAUAUGUCGUUGCUUUAGGACGUCCAAAGGACCAUAUGAAUUGUUAGAUUCAUAUCACGCCUUACUACAAGAAUUUGUUUAUACGGAAAGUUUGAUCUCUCCAAAAUUACUUAUUUAGUAUUAGCUUAUCUUUGAUCA